ensembl:lncRNA
UUUGUUCUGUUUCUGUCGUAUGGAAUAUACCAGAAUGCAUCUUCUCCAGCUUAGACUGGGAGGGAGUUUUGAAUCUGUAACAAUCAGUCUACCUAGGCAGAUAGACAGGUAGCCAUGGUCAAAGAGUUCCUGUAAUUGGUCGAAGGAAACAUGGUUGCAGCUUUUGGUCUUGAACAGUUCAGUUUUAUGGCUGAACGUUGAGGGCAGUGCAGGUCAACCUUUAUCAGGAAUUGAAGGUGAAAUGAAAUACUGUACUGCAGAAGGAGUCUGCAGAACUGAUGGAUGCCUUCUGAUGGUCUUCCCUGCCUUUCUCUGAGUGAUUGGGAGAUGGAAAGCUUUCUGCUGCACAACAGGCAUAUCACUAAAGCCACUGUUUUGUUAGCUUCUGCUGUGUCACUAGGAAGUGAUCCUGCAAACAUGUGAAGUGUGCCUCUUCCCUUUCCAACAUCUUUUGAUUCUCAUAGACACGCUGAAUGAUAGGAGUG